rnacentral:rRNA from 1 species
GACGAACUUUGGCGGCGUGCUUAACACAUGCAAGUCGAACGGAAAGGCCCUGCUUUUGUGGGGUGCUCGAGUGGCGAACGGGUGAGUAACACGUGAGUAACCUGCCCUUGACUUUGGGAUAACUUCAGGAAACUGGGGCUAAUACCGGAUAGGAGCUCCUGCUGCAUGGUGGGGGUUGGAAAGUUUCGGCGGUUGGGGAUGGACUCGCGGCUUAUCAGCUUGUUGGUGGGGUAGUGGCUUACCAAGGCUUUGACGGGUAGCCGGCCUGAGAGGGUGACCGGCCACAUUGGGACUGAGAUACGGCCCAGACUCCUACGGGAGGCAGCAGUGGGGAAUAUUGCACAAUGGGCGGAAGCCUGAUGCAGCAACGCCGCGUGCGGGAUGACGGCCUUCGGGUUGUAAACCGCUUUCGCCUGUGACGAAGCGUGAGUGACGGUAAUGGGUAAAGAAGCACCGGCUAACUACGUGCCAGCAGCCGCGGUGAUACGUAGGGUGCGAGCGUUGUCCGGAUUUAUUGGGCGUAAAGGGCUCGUAGGUGGUUGAUCGCGUCGGAAGUGUAAUCUUGGGGCUUAACCCUGAGCGUGCUUUCGAUACGGGUUGACUUGAGGAAGGUAGGGGAGAAUGGAAUUCCUGGUGGAGCGGUGGAAUGCGCAGAUAUCAGGGGGAACACCAGUGGCGAAGGCGGUUCUCUGGGCCUUUCCUGACGCUGAGGAGCGAAAGCGUGGGGAGCGAACAGGCUUAGAUACCCUGGUAGUCCACGCUGUAAACGGUGGGUACUAGGUGUGGGGUCCAUUCCACGGGUUCCGUGCCGUAGCUAACGCUUUAAGUACCCCGCCUGGGGAGUACGGCCGCAAGGCUAAAACUCAAAGGAAUUGACGGGGCCCCGCACAAGCGGCGGAGCAUGCGGAUUAAUUCGAUGCAACGCGUAGAACCUUACCUGGGUUUGACAUGGAUCGGGAGUGCUCAGAGAUGGGUGUGCCUCUUUUGGGGUCGGUUCACAGGUGGUGCAUGGCUGUCGUGAGCUCGUGUCGUGAGAUGUUGGGUUAAGUCCCGCAACGAGCGCAACCCUUGUUCACUGUUGCCAGCACGUUAUGGUGGGGACUCAGUGGAGACCGCCGGGGUCAACUCGGAGGAAGGUGGGGAUGACGUCAAGUCAUCAUGCCCCUUAUGUCCAGGGCUUCACGCAUGCUACAAUGGCUGGUACAGAGAGUGGCGAGCCUGUGAGGGUGAGCGAAUCUCGGAAAGCCGGUCUCAGUUCGGAUUGGGGUCUGCAACUCGACCUCAUGAAGUCGGAGUCGCUAGUAAUCGCAGAUCAGCAACGCUGCGGUGAAUACGUUCCCGGGGCU